rnacentral:rRNA from 1 species
UAGGGAAUCUUCCGCAAUGGGCGAAAGCCUGACGGAGCAACGCCGCGUGAGUGAAGAAGGAUUUCGGUUCGUAAAGCUCUGUUGUUAGGGAAGAAUGAUUGUGUAGUAACUAUACACAGUAGAGACGGUACCUAACCAGAAAGCCACGGCUAACUACGUGCCAGCAGCCGCGGUAAUACGUAGGUGGCAAGCGUUGUCCGGAAUUAUUGGGCGUAAAGCGCGCGCAGGUGGUUUAAUAAGUCUGAUGUGAAAGCCCACGGCUCAAUCGUGGAGGGUCAUUGGAAACUGUUAAACUUGAGUGCAGGAGAGAAAAGUGGAAUUCCUAGUGUAGCGGUGAAAUGCGUAGAGAUUAGGAGGAACNNCAGUGGCGAAGGCGGCUUUUUGGCCUGUAACUGACACUGAGGCGCGAAAGCGUGGGGAGCAAACAGGAUUAGAUACCCUGGUAGUCCACGCCGUAAACGAUGAGUGCUAAGUGUUGGUCUCAUAAGAGAUCAGUGCUGCAGCUAACGCAUUAAGCACUCCGCCUGGGGAGUACGACCGCAAGGUUG